rnacentral:rRNA from 1 species
ACACUGUCGAGAAAAGCCUCUAGCUAGAGAUUUGGCGCCCGUACCGCAAACCGACACAGGUAGUCAAGAUGAGAAUUCUAAGGUGAGCGAGAGAACUCUCGUUAAGGAACUCGGCAAAAUGACCCCGUAACUUCGGGAGAAGGGGUGCUCUUUAGGGUUCACGCUCUGAAGAGCCGCAGUGAAUAGGCCCAAGCGACUGUUUAUCAAAAACACAGGUCUCUGCUAAACCGUAAGGUGAUGUAUAGGGGCUGACGCCUGCCCGGUGCUGGAAGGUUAAGAGGAGUGGUUAGCUUCUGCGAAGCUACGAAUCGAAGCCCCAGUAAACGGCGGCCGUAACUAUAACGGUCCUAAGGUAGCGAAAUUCCUUGUCGGGUAAGUUCCGACCCGCACGAAAGGCGUAACGAUUUGGGCACUGUCUCAACGAGAGACUCGGUGAAAUCAUAGUACCUGUGAAGAUGCAGGUUACCCGCGACAGGACGGAAAGACCCCGUGGAGCUUUACUGUAGCCUGAUAUUGAAAUUCGGCACAGCUUGUACAGGAUAGGUAGGAGCCUUAGAAACGUGAGCGCCAGCUUACGUGGAGGCGUUGGUGGGAUACUACCCUAGCUGUGUUGGAUUUCUAACCCGCGCCAUUGAUCAUGGCGGGAGACAGUGUCAGGCGGGCAGUUUGACUGGGGCGGUCGCCUCCUAAAGUGUAACGGAGGCGCUCAAAGGUUCCCUCAGAAUGGUUGGAAAUCAUUCAUAGAGUGUAAAGGCAUAAGGGAGCUUGACUGCGAGACCUACAAGUCGAGCAGGGUCGAAAGACGGACUUAGUGAUCCGGUGGUUCCGCAUGGAAGGGCCAUCGCUCAACGGAUAAAAGCUACCCCGGGGAUAACAGGCUUAUCUCCCCCAAGAGUUCACAUCGACGGGGAGGUUUGGCACCUCGAUGUCGGCUCAUCGCAUCCUGGGGCUGUAGUCGGUCCCAAGGGUUGGGCUGUUCGCCCAUUAAAGCGGUACGCGAGCUGGGUUCAGAACGUCGUGAGACAGUUCGGUCCCUAUCCGUCGUGGGCGCAGGAAGUUUGAGAGGAGCUGUCCUUAGUACGAGAGGACCGGGAUGGACAUACCUCUGGUGUACCAGUUGUCGUGCCAACGGCAUAGCUGGGUAGCUAUGUAUGGACGGGAUAAGUGCUGAAAGCAUCUAAGCAUGAAGCCCCCCUCAAGAUGAGACUUCCCAACUUCGGUUAUAAGAUCCCUCAAAGAUGAUGAGGUUAAUAGGUUCGGGGUGGAAGCAUAGCGAUAUGUGGAGCUGACGAAUACUAAUCGAUCGAAGACUUAAUCCAAUUU